rnacentral:rRNA from 1 species
CUGGCGGCACGCCUAACACAUGCAAGUCGAACGCAGUAGCAAUACUGAGUGGCAAACGGGUGAGUAUAAUGUGGGAAUCUGCCUUUUGGUUUGGAAUAACACGGGGAAACUUGUGCUAAUACCGAAUAAGCCCUUACGGGGAAAGUUUUAACGCCGAAAGAUGAGCCUGCACUUGAUUAGCUAGUUGGUAAGGUAAAGGCUUACCAAGGCUACGAUCAAUAGCUGUUCUUAGAGGAAGACCAGCCACAUUGGGACUGAGACACGGCCCAGACUCCUACGGGAGGCAGCAGUGGGGAAUCUUGCACAAUGGGGGAAACCCUGAUGCAGCGAUGCCGCGUGAGUGAAGAAGGCCCUUGGGUUGUAAAACUCUUUCGUCGGGGAAGA